rnacentral:rRNA from 1 species
GCGACAACGGGUAGCUGGUCUGAGAGGAUGGUCAGCCACACUGGAACUGAGACACGGUCCAGACACCUACGGGUGGCAGCAGUCGAGAAUCAUUCGCAAUGGGGGAAACCCUGACGAUGCGACGCCGCGUGGAGGAUGAAGGCCUUAGGGUUGUAAACUCCUGUCAAGAGGGAAUAAGCAAGUGAAGGUACCUCUAGAGGAAGGGGCGGCUAAUUCCGUGCCAGCAGCCGCGGUAACACGGAAGCCCCGAGCGUUGUUCGGAUUCAUUGGGCGUAAAGGGUGCGUAGGCGGCGCGGAAAGUCCGGCGUGAAAGGCAGAGGCUCAACCUCUGGACUGCGUUGGAUACUUCCGUGCUUGAGGACUGGAGGGGAGACUGGAAUUCACGGUGUAGCAGUGAAAUGCGUAGAUAUCGUGAGGAAGACCGGUGGCGAAGGCGAGUCUCUGGACAGAUCCUGACGCUGAGGCACGAAGGCUGGGGGAGCGAACAGGAUUAGAUACCCUGGUAGUCCCAGCAGUAAACGAUGUGAGCUUGAUGUGGGGGGAUUCGACCCCUUCCGUGUCGAAGCUAACGCGAUAAGCUCACCGCCUGAGGAGUACGGCCGCAAGGCUAAAACUCAAAGAAAUUGACGGGGACCCGCACAAGCGGUGGAGUAUGUGGCUUAAUUCGAUGCAACGCGAAGAACCUUACCUGGCCUUGACAUGCAUUGUGUCGUCGGUGAAAGCCGGCUAGUCCUGGAAACAGGACGCUUUGCACAGGUGCUGCAUGGCUGUCGUCAGCUCGUGUCGUGAGAUGUUGGGUUAAGUCCCGCAACGAGCGCAACCCUUGUGGUCAGUUACUAACCGGCUUAGCCGGAGGACUCUGGCCAGACUGCCCUGUCAAACGGGGAGGAAGCUGGGGACGACGUCAAGUCAGUAUGGCCCUUAUGGCCAGGGCUGCACACGUACUACAAUGCCCGGUACAAUGUGAACCGAAACCGCGAGGUGGAGGAAAAUCGCUCUUGAAAACCGGGCACAGUUCGGAUUGGAGUCUGCAACUCGACUCCAUGAAGUCGGAAUCGCUAGUAAUGGCGUAUCAGCAACGACGCCGUGAUACGUUCCCGGUCUUGUACACACCGCCCGUCACAUCAUGGAGUCUCCUGUACCCGAAGCACGUGCACCA